rnacentral:lncRNA from 1 species
UUUCAAACAAUCAAUGUUUUAUUUGGUUAAUUUAUUAAACACCUUUAAGACAAUUAAUUUUGGUCUGUACCCUUCUAUAAAAUGAUUCAAGUUCUGAACAAACCUCCGAUACAUAAAGCAAAGUUACUUUUACCAUACGCAAAUUUCAGAUCAAAAUACAACACUCUGUUUUCUUACAUUUAUAAAACCCGGUCAAAUACAAACGACAUUAAAAAAGAUAAAACACUUUCACUGAUCCUUGGUACAAUAUUACAGCACAAUUUGCACAGUGGCAACUAAGUCCUCAAAGCACAAGUCAAAUACUUUAAAAAGGGAGCCUCCCUUUAGUCACCCAAUGUCCUACUGAACACGUAAACAAAGCGAGUGCUACUGAAUCCAGGAAAAUUCCCGUGUCCCUUUUCAUACCAUGUGUGAGCCACAAAGCAAUUCUGCAAGGGAAGCUACUGGUGAGUAACCAAAGAGCUUUCCUACUUUGCUGUUACCAGUUUUUGUGCAACUACUCCAUGAAAAUAAACAAAUGGAGGUGGACCAGACUCUGCACUGGGCAAUUUAUGGCAACUAAAGUAAACCAAGAAAUUAGUGUUUUUCUAAAAAUAGACCAUAAAACUAUUAAAAAAAUACCAAAUUUCAUGGGUACAACUAGAGUAACUGCCUUUUGUUUCAUCUUCAAGACAUCUAAUGAAGACACAGAGUGUUUUCAAUUUUUGAGUUUGUUCAAUUGCAAAACCCAGUGUUUCAGCAAUGGGUCAAAAUACCAUUAGAAUUGCACAUUUUUCAUCAAUUACAGAAUGCAUGGUUGCAUGAAACGCUCAUUUGGUGCUACACCUGAAAGCCUGCACUUACACUAACCUGUGAACAUGAGGGAUGUUCUAUGAAACACAAACAAGAACAAAAAUUAAAACUACAAACAUAAAAUGAUAAAACUCAAGUCUCAGUUGAUAAACAUUCCUGGGAAGGUCCUACUUAGCAAACCUUGCAGCAACACCUCGAGAAGAGAAAGUAAAACCAGAAAAAUGGAUAGGUCUGAUGUGUCCCCUCGGGCUGUGCUUUGCAAAGGCAGUCAGGGCAGUUGUACCACAGUGCAACUGAAGGGUUUUUGCCUGAAGUUCUGCAACCCCUUAAUUCCCCCCACCCCCAAACCACUGAUUUUACUCACAGUUCAAUUGUAACUUCAGUUAUUCAGUCCCAUCUAAUGUGAAAACGUGUACAUCAUUAAAUGGAAAAAUGCACUAAUGGAUCUGACUUUCCUCUCUCCUCCCUCCCCAAACUCACAUCAAACCCACGAGGACACCACACACUCCAAAACUUUUCCUAUCUGUUAAUGUUCACAUAAUCCUGACAGAACAGAGAACUGCAAACUGCACAAACAAUACAUAGUUAAAUAAUGCUAAAGUGUAAACAAUACAGGAUGGACAUAGUUUAAUAAAACCCUGGUGAGGUACAGCAAAAACUUAAUUUCCUAAUUUAGUGUUUUAAGUGCAAUUGAAACGCUGCUGUACCACCCUUCUGCAAACAUACCUCUCCAGAAUUAAGCUGCACUACUAGGCUUAUUUUCUUAAAGCUACAUACCCAUGCUAUAACUCAUUAUAUUGACUUAAUGCAAAUAUUUGUGGGGAAAAUUAAUUUACAGGGUUAAUUAAAAUCUUUUUAGUAUUCAAAAGGAAUGAUAGUAAAGGGAUCAACCAUGGAAAAUGUGGUAAUACAUGUUUUUUAAAAGAUUUCCAAUAAUUCUAACACAAACCAGCAAGUAUAUUUUGAAAAAUGCAUAGAAACCCUGUCAAUACAAAAAUCCCCACUGAAAUUACACAACUAAGCAAUUUUAAUCUAAAUAUUUUAUGUGCUUUUCCUAUAAAGGCCACUUUGACGUACAAAUACAAAAAAAUUUACAUUUUUCCCCAAAAUAAAUUAUUUGUUCCUCAAUUAAAAAUACUGAAUAUGGAAGCAUAACAACCCUCACUCAUGCCAGCUGCUCAUCUGCAGUGGCUAUUUCUGAAGAAGAAAAUCUCCUAAUAUUUUCAGUUACCAAAAGAAAUAAGAAAUGGCUUCAGCCUGUGGUCUGCUUAGCACUAGGAAAAACCUGGGGGAGGGAAUGGAACAGGCUGAGCCCCUUACACCGCGUGUGCUGGGGAGGAAAUGGAUGUACACAGAGAGAGCUUUCCUGCUUGUCUCCCAGGCUAUGCACCAAAAUCCCUGUUUGGAAUCAGAGAAAGAAAUCGAGGUCAAUCUCAAUUAAAGAGAGACAAAAUAGUAAAGGGAAUUAGGAGGCAGAAACUGUAUGAGGUCCAGGCUUAAGGAAAUGAAGAAUUCAUGAUCACCUGGGAGAGGAGAGCUCCUCACGGGAGGCAGAACCAGGAAAAACUGUACCCGUUUUUUAACAGGGGGAAGAAGAAGAACACAAGGAAUAAAUUUCAUUGGAAAAAUGAAGCAAUGGGAGAACAAAGAACCUUUACCACAAGUCCUGACCACAUGGGCAUUUAUCGCUGAAUUGCCACAGAAGCAAAAAGACCAAACUCGCACAGAAGUGGCAGAAAUGAAAACGUACUUGGACUGAUUGGAGACAUCACAGGGAUUCUUUACUGUAAGCACCAGAUCCACAAGUGACUGACACAGGGAAAGCAAGACAACACCAACCCAGAGGGCACAGCAAACCCCAAACACCUGACAUGCUCUAGGGCAGGGAGGUGCAAACAUGCUGAAGUGGCCCCAGAGGGUAAAGCCACAGUGGUGGGGUUACAGGACAAGCUCCAGUUGACAACACCAUGGGACAACAGGAGGGACACACACGGAGAUCACAUCAUUCUGAGCCAAAACACCCAGCAACCUGACCUGGCGGAACUGCUGGGUCAGGCAAGGGGGCAGGAGCAAAAGCAGUGAACUAGAGUUGAUCUGGAUACGAGAUUCGUGGGCAGCCAUUGAGUACAAGCUCUCCUAACCUUGGACCAAGGACUGGGUUUGGAAGGACACAGGAGCUGCACUUCUGUAUCACAAGGAAUUCAGCUCUCUGGUGUGCUGUAUUGCAUAGUUUGAUUGAGGUCAAAGAGCAUUUAUGUCUUAUUUUUCCCUGUUUUAAACAGAAGUAACUCAGCAUACCCCGAUCAGAGCAUUCCAAACCCUGCCCCCAAGUGAUUAAUCAAUUAAUUUCUAAAGAUUUUGAGGUGGACACAUAAAAGAUAAAACUCCAUUCCCACACAAAGCACAGAAGGACCCACAGAACAUGUACACACACAGAAAGGCUGUAACAGUAACCACAUCUGUAACACAGGAGUCAGAGCACGACAGCUGCAUGAUGGGGAUAACCCUUGCUGUCCAGCUGCAUGCCACAGAUGGUAAAGAAGAGGUGAGUACUUUUACCUCACCACACCAAUGUGCCUUUUGUAGAAAAGGUGGCAAUAUAUUCUGACAAUAUCCUGGUAAUUAUCAAGAUCUUAGAUUUGACAGAACAUUGAACCUUUAGGAGAGCGGCAGCAACGUAACAUCACAUUCCAACACCCUCCUAUUACUUGGUUCAUGGAAUACAGGCAUCAUAAUUGGAUUAUUCAAUCGUUUUUUCAUUCUCUUAAGAUAUAAGAGAGUAUUUGUACUGUACAUAGUCAGACUAAGUACACUAGUUAUCAUUCUUAUAAUACAUAUUCAUUUCUUUAACCCAAUCCCACAAGAUUCAUGGAACUCAAUAAAUAUGGUUUACCGAGAGAAAACUCUGAAGAUAGAGCAUCUAAUGUGAAUACAUUUCAGUUUUUCCUUCUGAAGGUAAAACAAUUCCAGCUUAUCAGGGUCCCACUCUGGAUUAUAGAGCAGUGGGCAUACAAACUGGGAUGCAGUUUCACAUCUCUGGUUUCUCAAAAAAAGAAAAAAGUGCAGUGGAAAAACAGGUGGCCAGAAGCUCCCUGGCUCUUCAGGCCAGUACCUGUGGUUCCACACUGCAGACAUAGUUCCAGAACCCACAGUUCCAUAGCUCCAGAAGUUUCAGAUUUAAAUACAAUAAAUGCAAAAUAGCAAAUCUCCUAUAACAGGCCAUCAAUCUUUAUAUCGUAAGGGACAGUGUGGACUCAUCCUUACCUGUGCAGCAGGGAGCAGCUGCAAGGCAAGGAACAAUGCUGCUCCUCAGCCUUCCCUAGAAUGAGAGGAUCAGGAAUUUGCAAGCUCAGUAGAGUUUCUCCACUUUCAGCUGUUUUCAACAGUUUUCAGCUGUUUCUCAGAAGCACUGCAGGUAACACAGAUACUCCUGUGAGGCCACCAACCAGUGGCUCCUCUGCAGUGACAGCCUGGAUGAGUUUGGAUGGUCCAGAGGGCAGCACCCAAUGUGUGAAGGAGGAGAAGGACAAGGCAGUCUCUGGACUCUUUUCAAAAGGCUAAAGGACACUGACAUUAAUAUGAGUGAAAAAUGCUACAGCACUGGGACUGCAGAGCCUAUAAGAAGACAAUAAAUAACCUGAUGUCUGGAGAUGGGACAAAUUCAAACAUCAACCCUUGAUCCUGCUGCUUCAGACAGGGCAGGAGUAGGACUUUAUGUGCUUCAGAGAAAGAAAAACCUUCCUGUAGCAGUGUUACCAAAUGCCUAAACCAAACUGAUGAUACAGAUCAAACGAAAAUAAAGGCAGCAGAAAAAGGACAACAACAAAGUUCCUAUGCAGGACUAAAAUUCAGCUCUCGCCUCCAGAGCUUGUGUCUACAAGAACCUCUUCUCAGAGUGCCCAAGCCGAUGUCACUGCAAUGGCAGCACUUGGAGCUUCCCUCCUCCCUCCUCCUGAGCACUAAACCCUGGGGGGCUGAGCAGGAGGGGUCUGAGACAAACCCUACACUGGGCACAACAUCCCAGUGACCUGCCAGCCACAUGGGUCAGCGUGUCCCAGACACACAGCCAUGUCCUGGGACCAAGCCUGGGAAGAUUAAUAUUUAUGGAAUAGCCACCAUGAUGCUAAUGGAAGGCUCUGGAAUUAGCAGCUAAUUGGUACAGUCUGCAGAGUUAAUGAAUAGCUCCUUGUUUCACCCCUGCUAUUUGUGCAUGGCCACUAAAAUGUUUGCUACAUUGAAUUCAAAGUUAGUAUCAGUGGCUCCUCAAAAUUUUAGAGGAAAAUAUCCUCUGUGAUGCAUUUCUUGGUUUUGCCUUUACAAAGAAGGGAAAAGGGAGCAUUUUCCCAUUAUAUUUUGCAUUAUUAAGGCCUUUUGACAGUUUGGAAGCCAUCUUUAUGAAAAGGGAUGCUUUUCAAAAUAGAGAUUGAAUACUCAAAGAAAAACUCCACAGAAUAAACACAAGCUGAUUACCAGCUUAUAUUGGUACUUUUAGAAGUCAAGCACAGUGUAAGGAAUUCAAAACUAUGUCGAAAUAGCACCUUUAGGAGCAGAAGAAAAGACACUUUUUAAAAAACUUUUUCAAUCUAAGCAAAAUCCCACAUACCUGAAGAUCACAAAGAAAUGGUCAAUGACAUUAGUUCAGGUAUGGAAGGCAGGUAGUGAUUUGAACAGUUUUUCCUCUGCAGGUGAUUAAAUGGGAAACUCCACAGAAAAAUAUCUAAGUAGACAUUACAGAAAAAUCAGUGAAUCUCUCUAUUAAGAUAAUGUAUCAAGUCCACAGGCAAAAUAGUGAGAGCAGAGUAGAGGCAGAGAGAAAACUAUCUGAUCUGUCCUUAAAAGAGCAGAGACUUCUAUUUUUUUGAACAGAUCGCUUCCUAUUUAAAAAUCAUCAGGACAGCCUUUCAAUUGCUACUCUCAUUUCCAAGUAUAAUAGUUAUUAUCAAGUAAUAGAAAUUUUUAUUUACUUUUUACAGCAGCUGCAGGUCAACCUUGGUCUUUUUGUACAGAAACAUUAAUUUAAAAUGAAAUUAAACUGUCCUUGGACAAUGGUACCAUUCUGUCCUGCUUCUUGUCUGCUUUUAGGUUUUUUUUUAAUUGAAGGACAAAAUGUGAUUUAAAACAAAACAAAAAAUAUUUGACAAAGUGCAAAGAAAGAAAAAAUGAGGUAGCUGGGAGUAGGGGCUUUUCCCCCCAGGACAAAGCGCCAGACUUCCAGGCACAGUGACACACAUGAGGGACUGGGCUACACCUGCUCUACCUGCAGGUUUGCUUACAAGUGUUCAGGUGAUCUCUGACCUGCUGGCAUCAGUUCUAGAAGCUCCAGGAAAAGUCAUUUCAUUGUGUGCUAAGCACUGUCCCCACACACACUGAUGUGCAGAGAUGUGCAAAAGCCACAGAGAGCAAGUUGGUGUGGCCACCCUCUGACCCACAGCAGUUGUGCUCCCUGGCCCGUGGGCACAGGCCAUGUGUUCAGAGGGAGAAUGAAAGCAAAAUCCUGUUAGUAACAGCAAAAGAGAAAACACCCGAGGCCAGAGGAAACAUGGUGCAUGGAACACCCAGGACCUGCCCCUGAUGGGCUUUGGGGUCCAAAGACUGAGGGCAGUCAGUGGUGGCAAUUCCAUGAGUUCUGUACCAAACCCAGCCUCUUGCCCCAUCUGACACUCACAGCAAGACUGGUGCAGUGUAAGGAGAAUCGUCUACUGAACCUUCUCCACCCCUCAGCACUGUAAAGGAGCUCCCAGGAGCCCCCCAGAACACAGCUUGCUAUUUACAUCAUGUAACCAAGAUAGGACAGAACACUCACCAUGCAUUGCAAAAUGCAUUCUUAGGCCCUUAAAUACAAACAUGUUUCAGUUGCAAGAAGCAAACCACUCAGGUUUUGGAAAUUAAGGAUUUAAAAAAAAAAAAAAAAAAAAAAAAAAAGCUUAAAAUGGACUUAGCAGGUGUUUCCCCAAGCAAACAAAAGCUAGAACAGACUUCAUGUUCUCUAAGCAACCCAGAGGAGUCCUUUGGACUAGUUUAAGACCAGCUCUGAAAGGGUUUGAAAGUAUUUCUGAAGAGGGCACUCCCUGGCUUCCCUGCAGAAAGAAACUAUAGCAAGAGCUUUACAGAAUGUCAGCUGUGUUUAACUUGAUCAUCUCAGCAGAUACCCCUGUGUACUGCUUUAUUCACUCAAAUAAGCAGGCUUUGCUUUUUAAGACAUAAAAACAGUGAAACAAGUGACAGGGAUGAUUAUGCUUUCCUGCCAUCAUUUGUAAAUUAAUAAAGUAGAUUAAUAAAACCUGCAGCUUUUGCAUGUGAGGUCAUUCAGGAGAGAACCAUAAGCCCAGCCAAGGAUCAGGGUUUUGUAGCACGCUGCCUAUUGAAGACGGAAAUUUAAACUUUCCAAAAUUGGCUUUUGCUUUCAUCAGGUACAAAUUUGUUCCACAGGGCAUUUUUUUUUUCUGGUCUGAAAUUGGCAGAGGUGGUAACCCAAUAACAGAAUGCACAGAAAUGACACCUGUGAAACAAGUGCACAGCUGGUGGCAGGAGGUUGGUCAGGCUCUGACAGGGUUUAGAACUAUAGAUAAAGGAAAUUUGCCCUCGACAAAAACUGAGGUUGUCUCAGCAUUAACUCAAAAGAAAUGGAGGAAAUUCAAACAAAUUUUUUUAAAAAUUAAAUAAGUGCCUAAGGUGGUCAUUUAAAAACACACAGUAUUAAAAACCCAAUUAAUUUCAUCAAUCAAUUUUAAUCAAUUUUAUCAAUAAAGUAACACUAAUUACAUAGGGUAUGCUUCUUUCUAUUAUUGUAAUCAGACCCGUCAGUUUUUACCAGGGCUCAGAACAGCCUCAUUCCAUUAUGCAAAUUCAAGGGCACAGGUAGGCAGUGGCAUUGAGCAGCUUCAUGUCCUGAAGUGCUCUGGCAGGUGUUCUCUGCUCACAGAAACCCUGCAAAACUGCUGGGCAUCAAGAUUUAGCCUUUUUCUAUUGAAAAGCACCAAUCUUCCAGCUCACUUUUCAAGAUAUUUCAAUGGAUUAUUUAAAAUAACCUGCAAAUACUAUUUUAUGUAAGUACUUAAUGUAUUGCAAAUACUUUUAUAACUAAAAAGCCGCUACCUAGAAUAAGUAAUUUAAAAAAUAUUAUUCAGAUUUUAUAUCAUCAAUAAAUAUUCAACAUAAUUACCUGUUGGUAGUAGCUCAUAGUUUCACUCUCUUGUUACCCUUAAUCCUAAUGAGCAGGUGUUUAUCUAGAUGAAUGGCUUUAGUCUAUGCUUUUAGGUAACCUAUUAAUCAAAAAUUUGAGAGAGUUGAUUGCUGGAGAAGAGCAGCAGUCAGACUGCAGAGUCACACUGGGCAUGGCUGGUCAGAGGUGUCACCUUAAGCCCUGGCUGCAAUCCUUCCUACAGCAAGGAAUUUCCCAGGGAAAAAAAAAAAGAAAAAAAA